CUCCUGCUCAAUGGCCGUACUAAAUAGCCGCAGUACAUUGACUGUGCAAAGGUAGCAUAAUCAGUUGGCUUAUAAUUGAAGUCUAGUAUGAAUGGAGCAUUGGGUGUAUACUGUCUUAAAUUAGUUAUUAUAAUUUACUUAAUAAGUGUAAAUACUUAUACUUAAAUAAUAGACGAUAAGACCCUAGAAAUUUUCUACAAUGUGAGUCUUUUUACUACUAUUUUGCUGGGGCGGCAGAAUAACACGGCAACUUAUUUUUUUUAUUUGAAGGUGUCAGAAAAAUGAUAAUUACUCUAGGGAUAACAGCAUAAUUAUUAAUAGAUUGUGACCUCGAUGUUGGACUAGGGAUUAUAUUACCUAGCCGGUAAAUAUAUUCGCUCUGUUCGAGCAACAAUUCCU
rnacentral:rRNA from 1 species